rnacentral:lncRNA from 1 species
AUUCUACUGAGAAUCUGACCCAAACCACAUGAACCUCAGAGACAGCCUGGGAUGGUGUUUCAGAGGUGGUCAGACCGGAGGCCCCAGCCCCCUUCCUCCCAAACCCUCCCUCCAGGUGUGUCUGCAGAGAGCCAGCUGAUGUCUUCCGGCCGAUGUCACCAGGUGCAGGGUCUCGAGUCUGCAGCUGCUGAGCUGGAGUUAUUUGUAAAAAAUGGUAGCAGCAAGACAAUAGAUAGACAUCUUGUCCUGAAGGCAGCAGGGCAAUGACUCACGCGGAUGAAUCAUUUUAAAUUAGUCCAGAGGGUCUCGGGGGAACCAAGUUCUAAAUUCAGGAAACAUCAGGCUCUGACCAAGCAAAGACUGCCAACUCAAUUUCAUGAUUCUAGAAAAAGAAUUAAGAGAGUUUUUCGCUAGAAGAAAGCAUAGAGAACAUGUUAUUCAAUGGCAUAAUUCUGUAGAUGUGAAAACAGAAGUCCAAGAUCCAAAAGUCACUUAGCAAAGCCAGACAAAACUGCAGGUCUUCUGAUUCUCAGCUUGGGAAUUCUCUCUGCCAUGCCAUUGGGGCGCACUGCUCACUGUUUGGAAAACUACCGCACAAGCGUGUGAGAGCUUUGGGGUGACAUGAGCAAAUUAUUAAUUCCCCAGAGAAAACUGAGGCAUUAUUUUAUGUAGCUAGGCAAGCAUUACCCUUCCAUUAGGGAAGCAUUGGUUACAGCAUAAAUAAUAAACAAGGCCACAGCCGGAGCCAGAACUGCUCACCAAAAGUUUCUUUUUUGGUAUGAAAACUAUGAGUGAAUUUUCCCUAAGAACUUUCUGGCAACAUGUACAAAUAAAGCCACAUCCACGGUGACAAAUUGUGCUGGUUAGAGUUUAGCAGAUGACACUCUUGUUAUUGAAACAGGAACUGACUCAGCCUCAGCAGCUACAGAUCAUAUAUUUUAUUCCGUUGUGUUGUCUCAUUUGAAAAAAAACCUAUCACAUGGCAACACUGUUUGUUUUCUAAAUAAUACAUUUUCUUCAGAGAAACAUGUAAAAUACAGAUAAAGCCUUUGAGAUCUUAAUGAACGUUUUCUAGGAACCAGGAGAUAAUUUAUCAGUUAAUACGCCAAUAUUUAAAUACUGCAAAAUAUGUUUUCACAAAUAUAAUAAAAUCAAAUGAGUAUUUUUCAAUGAAAGUAAAUACAUGUUUAAUGUUUUUGAAGGGCAUAGAUUCUAGUGUUUGAAUCUGGUUGUAAAACCGUUUAUAACACUGAAUAGUAGCAUUACUGCUAUUAACUAAAAAUGGAUUUUUUUAAACACAUUAUAAUGUACUUUUUAAGGAUUUUAUUAACUUCAGAAAUUUUGUUCAUUAUGACCAGGGCUGGGCUGAAGUUUGUCUUUGUCUAUUAAGCUUUGACAUCUACACAGUGCAAAUUGAUAAUCUAAAAAAUGUAUCUCAGGACAAGUGCUUAAAACACUUAAAGUUUCAGGUAUCCACCCAAGGCGAUUUGCCUGCUGCAUACUGAGAAUCUGUUUACAGUUCACGGGCUACUCCAGAACAAUGCCUGUGCUGCUGAACAGUGCUGAAAAUACAUAGAGAAAGAUCAUUUAAAUUCUAUGAUGAGAUAUUCACUAGUACACCCACCCAGACUUCAAUGAUUCAAAUAGCAAGGCUUUCCUGUCUCCGUAGUUAGACGUGUGACAUUUCUUGCAAUCAUGGGCUUCCCUAGUGAGAUCAGUCUCUGCCUGAGGUACCGUUUAUUUUGUAACGGGGUCUCCCACUGCUGGAAACUAUUGCAAGACCACGAAAGAUCAGAGACCCAGGGAGGUGAUGGCUGUGGCCUCUACGCACAGAAGCCACAGAGGCCUCCCUGAGGCUGAGACUGUGUCAGAACCAGGCCCAAACCCACAGCACAUCUUCCUUGCCCGCUGGCUUCUCUCUGUAAACACAACUCCCUUUCUGUGGCUCAAUUAUCUGCAGUAUACGCAGCCAUUAGAAAGACAUGGACUUUUUUUUUGUUUUUCUGCUUUUCCCUCCAUAAAUCUCAGAAUGAAUAGUUUCCAUCUGUAAUUGUUGGUUUUAUAUUUUUAAAUAGUGAACUAAGAAACAUAAUGUCUCAUUAUCUCUGAAAUGAUUCGAGCAUUUGCUGCGUGCAACUCUGUCGAUAACAGCACAAUACAGUCAUUUUACUUUGUCUGGGGGAGGGGAGACGCUUCAAGAAAGUUCCUUUUUUUUCCUCUACUAACUCUGUAUUGCUAGUUAUCUGCUGUUUCCACACUCUGCAUAGAUCUAAUUUAGGUAUUUAAAAAAAAAAAAAAGAUACUCCAGACAUUAUCGUGGAUUGGCAGUUUAGAAAACACAUGUGGCUUCAAGCCUUCUUUGCAGAUCUGAAGCAAAUUAUUUCUGUAAAUGUGUGAAAAGUUGACUUUCCUAAAAAAUGGCUUGUGGUGCAUAUGUGCUCAAAUCUAUUCAGAAAAACCACAGCGCCUGACAUUUCUUCUCCAUUAUUUUCCUUGAGACAUGAAGAGUCUUGUAUAAUUUUAGUUUUUUUUUAAUGACAGAUUCCGUCAAUUUGCUUUUUAGAGUAACGUGUUUUCUUGUGCUCUGUCAUGUAAGAUUUUACCUGAAAGCACUGAGGAAGCAACUCUCUGCCCUGCCAUCUGGUGAGGGCUUCUCGACUCAUGAGAGUGACUCGGGAUUUCUCACCAGAGGCUGGAGUCACUGUGGGAAUGCGUUCAUUUCACAUACGGCCAGUCGCACCUUCACAUUUUCACACUACUAUGACAACAUGCUACUUUAAAGCACCUUUUUUUUUUUUCUUGGUCAGGCAGUUCUGGGAUUUAACUCCUAAGCACAUGCUGCAUUUGAACAAGAUAACCUUUUAAAAUAGUGUUAUAAAUAGCACAUCACCAAGCGGAUUUUCUUUCAAUCGCACGGUAUCUGAGGACAGGAAAUUCUAGCCAAAUGUUUACUGUCUACUCAGUCCCCAAAGUUAAUCAUUAAAACUAAGACCUGGCAUGUUUUUAUUAAUCUGUUAAUCACAACAAUACUUUAUUUGAAAAUAAAUCUAAAGCUUUUAGGUUGGCGCAAAAGUAUUUGAGGUUUUUGCGUUAAAAGUAAUGGCAAUUAUCAACCUGAUAACUCAUGCAGGGUAUAAUUUGCCUUCAGCCAGCUGACAAACUCCAGCAUCUCAUGAACUAGUGGCCACAGUAGCCACGAGACCCUCUUGGGUAUGAACGAGUGUGCUUGUGUUUGUGCCUGUGUGUCUGUGUCUGUGUGUGUUUGUGUCUGUGUGUGUGUGUCUCUGUGUGUCUGUAUAUAUUAGUGUUUGUGUGUGUCUCUGUGUGUGAAUGUGUGUGUCUGUGUGUGUCUAUGUAUAUGUGCGAACAUGUGUAUGUGUGCCUCUGUGUGUAUGUGUUAGUGUGUGUAUGUGUCUGUGUGUCUCUGUGUGGGUAAGUUUGUGUGUGUUGUGUCUUUUGUGUGUGUUGUGUCUGUGUAUGUGUGUGAAUAUAUAU